AGUGAACGCUGGCGGUAGGCCUAACACAUGCAAGUCGAACGGCAGCACAGUAAGAGCUUGCUCUUACGGGUGGCGAGUGGCGGACGGGUGAGGAAUACAUCGGAAUCUACUUUUUCGUGGGUGAUAACGUAGGGAAACUUACGCUAAUACCGCAUACUACCUACGGUUGAAAGCAGGGGAUCUUCGGACCUUGCGCGUUUGAAUGAGCCGAUGUCGGAUUAGCUAGUUGGCGGGGUAAAGGCCCACCAAGGCGACGAUCCGUAGCUGGUCUGAGAGGAUGAUCAGCCACACUGGAACUGAGACACGGUCCAGACUCCUACGGGAGGCAGCAGUGGGGAAUAUUGGACAAUGGGCGCAAGCAUGAUCCAGCCAUACCGCGUGGGUGAAGAAGGCCUUCGGGUUGUAAAGCCCUUUUGUUGGGAAAGAAAAGCAGCAGGUUAAUACCCCGCUGUUCUGACGGUACCGAAAGAAUAAGCACCGGCUAACUUCGUG
rnacentral:rRNA from 1 species